UGGGGAAUCUUGCACAAUGGAGGAAACUCUGAUGCAGCGACGCCGCGUGAGCGAUGAAGCCCCUCGGGGUGUAAAGCUCUUUCGGCAGGGACGAUAAUGACGGUACCUGAAGAAGAAGCUGCGGCUAACUACGUGCCAGCAGCCGCGGUAAUACGUAGGCAGCGAGCGUUGUUCGGAAUUACUGGGCGUAAAGAGUGUGUAGGCGGUGCUCUAAGUUUGGUGUGAAAUCUCCCGGCUCAACUGGGAGGGUGCGCCGAAGACUGGAGUGCUCGAGCGUGGGAGAGGAAAGCGGAAUUCCUGGUGUAGCGGUGAAAUGCGUAGAUAUCAGGAGGAACACCUGUGGUGUAGACGGCUUUCUGGACCAUUGCUGACGCUGAGACACGAAAGCGUGGGUAGCAAACAGG
rnacentral:rRNA from 1 species